UGGGGAAUAUUGCACAAUGGGCGCAAGCCUGAUGCAGCCAUGCCGCGUGUGUGAAGAAGGCCUUCGGGUUGUAAAGCACUUUCAGCGAGGAGGAAGGUGGUGAACUUAAUACGUUCAUCAAUUGACGUUACUCGCAGAAGAAGCACCGGCUAACUCCGUGCCAGCAGCCGCGGUAAUACGGAGGGUGCAAGCGUUAAUCGGAAUUACUGGGCGUAAAGCGCACGCAGGCGGUUUGUUAAGUCAGAUGUGAAAUCCCCGGGCUCAACCUGGGAACUGCAUUUGAAACUGGCAAGCUAGAGUCUCGUAGAGGGGGGUAGAAUUCCAGGUGUAGCGGUGAAAUGCGUAGAGAUCUGGAGGAAUACCGGUGGCGAAGGCGGCCCCCUGGACGAAGACUGACGCUCAGGUGCGAAAGCGUGGGGAGCAAACAGGAUUAGAUACCCUGAUAGUCCACGCUGUAAACGAUGUCGAUUUUGGAGGUUGUGCCCUUGAGGCGUGGCUUCCGGAGCUAACGCGUUAAAUCGACCGCCUGGGGAGUACGGCCGCAAGGUUAAAACUCAAAGGAAUUGAC
rnacentral:rRNA from 1 species